rnacentral:rRNA from 1 species
GACGAACGCUGGCGGCGUGCCUAAUACAUGCAAGUUGAGCGAUGAAGAUUGGUGCUUGCACCAAUUUGAAGAGCAGCGAACGGGUGAGUAACGCGUGGGGAAUCUGCCUUUGAGCGGGGGACAACAUUUGGAAACGAAUGCUAAUACCGCAUAACAACUUUAAACAUAAGUUUUAAGUUUGAAAGAUGCAAUUGCAUCACUCAAAGAUGAUCCCGCGUUGUAUUAGCUAGUUGGUGAGGUAAAGGCUCACCAAGGCGAUGAUACAUAGCCGACCUGAGAGGGUGAUCGGCCACAUUGGGACUGAGACACGGCCCAAACUCCUACGGUAGGCAGCAGUAGGGAAUCUUCGGAAAUGGACGAAAGUCUGAACGAGCAACGCCGGGUGAGUGAAGAAGGUUUUCGGAUCGUAAAACUCUGUUGGUAGAGAAGAACGUUGGUGAGAGUGGAAAGCUCAUCAAGUGACGGUAACUACCCAGAAAGGGACGGCUAACUACGUG